rnacentral:lncRNA from 1 species
GCUACACCGUCUGUUAGGGCCGCGCACGAGAUCAGUAACUGAGACCUCACCGCGUUGACCCAGCACCAGGGCUCGCGGGGGUCCCGCGAGGGUCUCGGUAGCCGCGCGCCCAGAGACCCCCGCCGCGGCCCGAUUCUCUGAGCGCCAGACAUGAACCGCAAGAAACUGCAGAAGCUGACGGACACCUUAACCAAAAAUUGCAAGCAUUUAUUCCGAGGUUUUGAUAAAGAUAAUGAUGGCUGUGUAAAUGUAUUGGAGUGGAUUCAUGGAUUAUCACUGUUUCUUCGAGGAUCUUUGGAAGAAAAAAUGAAAUGAGGAAAUGUUUCACAUGUUGAAGAACAGCCUUCUCAAACAGCCAUCUGAGGAAGACCCUGAUGAAGGAAUUAAAGAUUUGGUUGAAAUAACACUGAAGAAAAUGGAUCAUGACCAUGAUGGGAAGCUGUCUUUUGCAGACUAUGAACUGGCUGUGAGAGAAGAGACUCUUCUACUGGAGGCCUUUGGGCCAUGUCUUCCUGAUCCAAAGAGCCAGAUGGAAUUUGAAGCUCAAGUAUUCAAAGAUCCAAAUGAAUUCAAUGAUAUGUGAAUAACUAAAUGUCUAUAUUGUCUCAAGUGACAAUGUGCUAUCAGCCCUCACUCGGUCCCGGCACCUCCUCGGCCUCGAAGUCCACUCUGUCCGCGCUUGAGGAGCCCUUCAGCCUGCCACUGCACUGUGGGAUCCCCUCUCUGGGCAGGCCUAGGCCAGAGCCGGCUCCCUCUGCUUGUGGGGAGGUGUGGAUGGAGAGGCGCAGGCUGGAACCGGGGCUGCACGUGGUGCUUAUGGGCCAGCACGAGUUCUGGGUGGGCGCCGGCUCGGCAGGCCCCGCACUUGGAGCGGCCGGCUGGCCUGCGGGUGCCGCCGGCCCCAGGCAGUGAGGGGCUUA